CCUACGGGAGGCAGCAGUCGAGAAUCAUUCACAAUGGGGGAAACCCUGAUGGUGCGACGCCGCGUGGGGGAAUGAAGGUCUUCGGAUUGUAAACCCCUGUCAUGUGGGAGCAAAUUAAAAAGAUAGUACCACAAGAGGAAGAGACGGCUAACUCUGUGCCAGCAGCCGCGGUAAUACAGAGGUCUCAAGCGUUGUUCGGAAGCACUGGGCGUAAGGCGUGCGUAGGCUGUUUCGUAAGUCGGGUGUGAAAGGCGCGGGCUCAACCCGCGGACGGCACAUGAUACUGCGAGACUAGAGUAAUGGAGGGGGAACCGGAAUUCUCGGUGUAGCAGUGAAAUGCGUAGAUAUCGAGAGGAACACUCGUGGUGAAGGCGGGUUCCUGGACAUUAACUGACGCUGAGGCACGAAGGCCAGGGGAGCGAAAGGGAUUAGAUACCCUUGUAGUC
rnacentral:rRNA from 1 species